rnacentral:rRNA from 1 species
UACGGAGGGGGCAAGCGUUGUCCGGAUUUAUUGGGCGUAAAGGGUGCGUAGGUGGGCAAGUAAGUCAGUGGUGAAAUCUCCGGGCUUAACCCGGAAACUGCCAUUGAUACUAUUUGUCUUGAAUACUGUGGAGGUCAGCGGAAUAUGUCAUGUAGCGGUGAAAUGCUUAGAUAUGACAUAGAACACCAAUUGCGAAGGCAGCUGGCUACACAAAUAUUGACACUGAGGCACGAAAGCGUGGGGAUCAAACAGG